AACACUGGCAUGAGAUUGUGGAGGAGAUGGGGAGUGGGGAGAAACCUGAGGCCACAGCUCCCUCCACCUUGGACUGCUUCUCAGACGAUGGAUGGGUCUCUUCUCUGGCUUUAGCUCCUGCUGCACAGGGCUGUCUUGGUUCCCACCACUGCUAGAAAUAUCAACAAUGUGCAUGCCAAGACAGCAGCCAAAGGAAGAGGAAGCCCAGUACUGGCUAUAGAAGCAAGCUAGAGAAAGUAGAGCCAAAACAAUCAGGCUGCAAGAAGGAAAGACGACAGAAACAAUGAAGCUGGCCCUCUACAGAGCAAUUGAACAGAGUCAUUUUUGGAACUGUUGGUGGGAGGCUGGAGCGAUAGAAUGCAAAUAGCUGCUUCUCCUUACUUCUAUGAGCCUCUGUUUCCUCGUCGAAAAACAAGGGAAAGUCUGAUUGGGCAGUUCUCCUUAGAGGCUGUCCUCAAGACAGUGACUCAGGAUCUGGGCUGCUUCUGUAUUACGGCUCUGCCAUCUCCUAGUGCCUCCAUGGACUCCUCUGCUUGGUCAUCACUCAGCCAUCAAGUAAAGAGAGAGACAGCAAGGAGGAUCACCCAGGAUGUUUCAUAGACAAGUCUGGAAGUGGUGUACAUUACUUCCCUCCACAUGCCAUUGCCCAGAACAUGGUCAACUAACACCAGCCUAACAGCAAGCAGGACUGGGACACGAGUCUUAUCCAGAAAGAGGAAGUGGAAUUGACUCACUUUUGUACACCAUCUUCAUGCAAAUGGUGGAGCCCUCCUCAACUGGAACUGCCCUCAAUAAGUCAUAAUGUGGACUUUGACCUCUGACCACAUUUGGAAAGUGACCAAAUCAAGACAGAAAAAUCUAACUUGCCAAAGACCACAUAGGAAGUUCUUGGCAAAGUCAGAUGAGAAAACAGAGUUCAUGAACUUCAAGAGCCAACAUUUUUAACCACUGCCUCUGUUCCUUGUUUUGGGAACCCUUUUCCAAUAAAAAAAAAAGUAGAAAA
rnacentral:lncRNA from 1 species